rnacentral:other from 23 species
AGUAGGACUAGCAAAAGUAGGGGACUAGCGGUAGCAGUGAGUUCGUUGGAUGGCCGAACCCCUGAGUACAGGGGAGUCGUCAAUGGUUCGACACUCCAUUAGUCGAGGAGUCUCGAGAUGCCAUGUGGACGAGGGCAUGCCCACGGCACAUCUUAACCCAUGCGGGGGUUGCAUGGGUGAAAGCGCUAUUCGUGGCGUUAUGGACACAGCCUGAUAGGGUGUAGCAGAGACCUGCUAUUCCGCUAGUAAAAACUCUGCUGUACAUGGCACAUGGAGUU